AUGGACCCUGUGAAGAAAAUAACAAAAGAAGAUACUUGGAGGACUGAUGACUUAAAAGUGCACAUCGAGGCACACAAUGAGGAGAGCAAAAGAAGAUCUAAACGAGAAGAGGAGCACAGGAAAUACAGGGAUGGAGAGUCUCUGGAUCGCCGUCGCAGAGAUCCUGAUCGAGAUGCAAAAAGAGAAAAAGAAAAACGGAGAGAGCGAGAAAGCACAAGAGAGAAGAGCAAACACAGAGACCCAGACGGGGAUAGAAACCAGGACGACAAGCUGGAAGACAUCAGGGAGGAUAGAUAUAAAGAGAGAAAGAGAGAGCGAGAGAGAGACAACAGACACAGAGAUGGAGAUGAAGAAGAAAAAAGACACAGUCGAGGGGAGAAGGAAACUGGUGAAAGACGGAGGGAUAGAGAAAAGGACCGAUAUAAAGACAGGGACAUAGACAUGUACAGUCAGGGGGCCAGGGGUACAAACAGGGAAGGAGAAAAAGAUAGAGAUAGAAGAAGAACUGAGAGAGACAGGGAGCGAAAAAGUGAAACAGAUAGAAGGAAAGAGGAGAGAAGAGACGGAGAAAAAGACGAAAGGGAGAGAGACAAAGAACGAGAAAGAGAGAGGAGAGAAAGACACCGAGCAAGAGAAAGUGAACAGCAGCGACAUGAACAUGAGGAAAAACAGAGGGACGGAGAAAGGAGAGAGAGACGCAGUGAUAAAGAACACUCUGGACACAAAGAAAAAGAACACAGAAGAGAUAGAGAAGAUAGAGAGAAGAGAAGAAGGGAUAAAGAAAGUCAUGUGGCACACACAAGUCACUCUCGAGAAGCUGAACAGAAUCACCAGGAGUCGAAAGAGUCAAAGGAUUAUUUCCACAGCAUCAAAGAUGGGGAUAGGGAAAAGGCCAGGGAGCGGGAAGAGAGAGAUAAACGGCGUGAAAAAAGGCACAAAGAGGCUUCAGAAUCCAAGAGGAGUGACAGAGAGCGGAAACAUAAAGAUUCAUCAGGACAUGACCUGAGUGAAAGGAUAAAUAGAGACAAAGAGGAACCUACCAAGAUACCUCAGUUAACAUGGAGGUCUGUUCAAGCUGAAAUGAGUGAUCCAGAGAUCCCUGUAAGAUUUCUGUUUAAAGUCAGCAUGAAAUGAAAAUUCAGCCUAUCUAAUGCACGUUAUUCAUCUCAUUAGGAACAAUUUAUUUUUAUUUGUAAUUUUUUGUCAAAAUGUCAUGGAAGGACGUCUUGCGUAAAAAAAAAUGUCCCUUCAUAUGUUAAAAUCUUGUAAGAGAAGAUUUAAGAUAAGUUAAAAUUCUCUAUUGUUAACAACAUGGAUUUAACACUUAAUGUUAACUCUUCUACUAUUACUAGUGUACUGCAUGUGCAUUAAAUUGAAGUCCAAAUGGACUCUAAACAAAACCUGACUCGAUCAGACUUGCCUAGUACUGUCAAAUUUUAAGACCAAACCGAAUCAUUCUCUAUGUGUUUCUUCUCUGACUGAACAGAGCUAUAAGCACAGAUUUGUACAGCUCUGAUUUAAAGAUUCCAAAGAGUGUAAUUAAGUGCAUUAAAAAAAGUAAAUGCGUUUUUAAAUGUAAAGCACAUAAUCAUGUAUAAUACAAACCAA
ensembl:lncRNA